rnacentral:rRNA from 1 species
GAGUUUGAUCCUGGCUCAGGAUGAACGCUGGCGGCGUGCUUAACACAUGCAAGUCGAACGAAGCACCCCAUCCGAAAGCGGAAGCAGCUUGCUGCGGAAGAUUUCACCCGGGGUGACUGAGUGGCGGACGGGUGAGUAACGCGUGGGUAACCUGCCCCAUAGAGGGGGACAACAGUUGGAAACGACUGCUAAUACCGCAUAGUAAGGAACUGCCGCAUGACGGUUUCUUGAAAGAUUUAUCGCUAUGGGAUGGACCCGCGUCUGAUUAGCUAGUUGGUAAGGUAACGGCUUACCAAGGCGACGAUCAGUAGCCGGCUUGAGAGAGUGAACGGCCACAUUGGGACUGAGACACGGCCCAAACUCCUACGGGAGGCAGCAGUGGGGAAUAUUGCACAAUGGGGGAAACCCUGAUGCAGCGACGCCGCGUGAGUGAAGAAGUAUUUCGGUAUGUAAAGCUCUAUCAGCAGGGAAGAUAAUGACGGUACCUGACUAAGAAGCCCCGGCUAACUACGUGCCAGCAGCCGCGGUAAUACGUAGGGGGCAAGCGUUAUCCGGAUUUACUGGGUGUAAAGGGUGCGCAGGUGGCAGGGCAAGUCAGAUGUGAAAGCCCGGGGCUCAACCCCGGUAUUGCAUUUGAAACUGUCCGGCUAGAGUGCAGGAGAGGUAAGCGGAAUUCCUAGUGUAGCGGUGAAAUGCGUAGAUAUUAGGAGGGACACCAGUGGCGAAGGCGGCUUACUGGACUGUAACUG